UUUCUGCGGCUGUCCGUUGGCGGUGGGGAGGGGUCUGUGCUUUGUUAGAAAGGCUUUUUCCCGAAGUCACCUUUUUUGUGGGCCUUAAUUAGAGCCGUUGGAUUAACCACGGUCAUCUGUAGGGAGGUUGAGUUUCGCAGAUGAGACUUUUAGGUGGUCUGGUGGUAUAACCCCGUGAUUGACAGCGAGGAGAAGAGCGCGCUCCUCUCUGCGCCUCUGCUGGGAGGCACUGCAGUCGCGUUGGGCUGUGUUUUGCUUUUAUCUCUUCUUAUUAUUGGCAGUUAAGAGAAAUAAAUUUCUUCUGGCCACGAAAUAGCUGUGGCAGUGGAAAGUGGGGCUGGAAAGGCUUUUGUGUGGAGAUGUGGGUAGUUAGGAGAGCCAACUUGCUAGCAUUUCGGGGAACGCUAUCAGCUUCUGUAUUUGAGGAAAGCUGCAGAUAGACCGCUUUUCCUGUCUUAUAGUUGCAAGAGAAAGAAAACACGCAUGAAAUUGUGUGGACGAGGCAAUUCUGAUGUUGCGUUGAAAGUGAGAGCUGCUCUCGUAGGUGCUCCUGCCUGUCCUCUGCAUGGUGUGGGAUGUUUGGCGCUCUGGAGAACCCUUUUAUCACUAGAGUGCUUCGUUCCUAAUCGUCGCUUUGCUGUUCUUGAAUCUAACAUCCCAUAUCCCAUGGGUUCUCCACAGUCGAAGUGUUUCUGGAUCGUCUGAAUCAUGAUUUUAAGCCGGCAGCCUACUCACAUUUCGCUUAAUCUCAUCUAUUUCCAGUGCAUUAGCAUCAUUAUGGCAGGGAGAGCUCAGAAAUGUCAGGUGUAGUGGGAGCAGUCCAGUCAGGCCAAUCUUGGCCUGCUCCUGUCUCCUCCUCACCAUUGCAGCUGGAGGAUGUGAUUCUCUCAGGCUUGCUGAUGGUCUAAAUCCCGGCGUUUCCCACCCACCUCCUCUUUGCAUUCUCAGCUCCACAUAUUCCCAUCUCUGUUCCGUCGCUGCCGUAAGAGCUCAUGCUGCCUCUUGCUUCAGCAGCAAGCCAUUGCCAACAAGGCUUAUUUGAGCUGUACAGACAUGCCCAACCCACGUUUAGAAAAGAAAGUCUUUGUUUCUGCCUCCCUUUUCACUGUCUUCAUCUUCCUGAAGAGGAGACAGCAUGCUUUAAAAGCACAUUUUGUAUCUUCGCCGGUCUCCACUGGAGUAGUCAGUGGAUGUAUCAGUGAGACUCAUUUUAUUGUUAAUUUAUCUUCUUGAUACACAAUAUCAGACUCCAUUUUCAUUGACUGAAUAACUGUGGAGUCAUUAUAAAGGCAAUAAGAACUGAGUUACUAGCCUUGGAAGUGAUUACUGCUAGAUUUUUGCCUCUUAGGCCUCUAAACAGGAUGCUGCAUUAUUACAUGCAAUUCUCUUCCCUGAUGUACUGUCUGAGCAUUGGCCAGACUAUCAUGUACCACUGAUUCAUACAGAAUGCUUAAUCUCAGUGGAGCCAAAGUUUGUAAGAGAGACUUCUGGUCAUUGAAAUCCUCUGAAAUAUGAUUCGUUUCAAACAGCUGUGUAUGCUUCUCCUUUAGGGACAUGGAUGUCAGGCCACAUGUGUGAUAGGCAAGGCCACAAAAUGAGCAUCAGGGCUGUGCAUCCCUGAAGUUGAAUUUCACAGCUGGAGGAGUAGUUUGAAGAUGAGGUGACGGUCUUCCAGCAUGGUUAUGUGAAUUACAGAACCUAAACCAUGGCUUACACAAGUGAUUUUCCUUGGAAAAUAAAUACCUGCUUUUGAAAAUAUCUGAACGUGCAGAAAUGAAGUGAGGAAAUGUGGUAGUUGCCAGUCAGCCUGGGCUUUCCUUUGUUUACUGUGUUCAUCAGCCUGAGCCUGGUGCGAAGCACAGCAGCCAUUUGAAUACAAUGUGCAUGAGCCAGCUGGCAGCAUUGUCUGUUAGGCUAGUCAGCAGCAGGAUUCUCUCUUUUACUUAGGUGAUGCUCUGAUCUUUUUUCAGAGUUUAUAUUGGAGCAGUUCUCAAAGGCCCUAGAAAUGAAGUAGAAAUGAUCUGCUCCACAGAGAUUUAUGAAGAACUUGUCACGACUCUUGCUGCCCCUCUCUGCUCCUCUGGUACAAACUGUGCCACAGAGCAGCAAAGAAUUGAAUAUUUUCAAAAGCAGGUGCAUGAGGAAAGUUGGCUUUUCACUUUUACUUGCUUGGGAGAGAAGGAAAGACGGAGAGGAAGAAAAGGAAAGAUGGGGCCUGGGAUUUGUAAGACUAUAUCAGUACUUGAAGGAAUCAUUGAAUAAAGCACCUCACAUACAUCUUGUUCAUCCUCUGGCACUCCUAACAAAGCAGUAGCUGUGACUGCAGUAUGUGGAGUGGCUGAUGCUGCAGGUUAAGCAGGAAGUACUUACUGGGUCUUGCUCCUCAGAAAAAGAUGUACUUGAGCAAGCUUCUGCAAGCUGCUCAGUUUUGCACAGGAAUGGAAUUUUUUUUAAUGUAUGUGCCAGUAUUGCUCUGCUAUAUAAAAAUGCACUGUGUUGGUUUUCUGAACGUAGUUUGAUCAUCGUAAAUCCACUGAAGUUCUCAUUUAAUCAUGUAUGUACACCUGUUCUCACUAUUAGACAUAUCCAGUUGAUGAUCCUGCAAGACCACUUGAUCCUGCUCUAGUCUUGAGAUAGCUCAAAAGAUGCUGCCUUUUGCACCAAAGAGGCAAUCCAUUUGCCAGCUUCUGAUGUUCCCAGAUUGGCAUGCUGCUUUGUGCAACCAGGAUAGAAGAUAGAGGCUUGCACAGCAUGUGUCCUAAUUAUGCAGCAGAUAGAAUAUUUCAUGGGAACAUGAAAACUGGUCUAAAUCUGAAAUAGUAACCUAAAACUAAAGUGUUCAGUGUCAUAAUCAGGCUCCCAAGUUUUCCAAGCUUCCACGCUGAUCCUGCAGUAUUAUGUUAAGCUUUCAUUUCAUAUCCUUCUAGAUAACUCAGUCCAACUUCUUCCAACAGUCUAGAAAGAAAAUAUAUUGCAUGCCAUGUCUAGUUCUUGAGGGUAACGUAACGGAAUGGCAUAUGCUUCUGGUCUUCAUUUAUUGCCAUCUUCACAGAAUCAUAGAAUCACAGAAUGGCCUGGGUUGAAAAGGACCACAAUGAUC